ensembl:snRNA U6 U6 spliceosomal RNA
GUGUUCACUUCGGCAGCACAUAUACUAAAAUUAGAACGAUACAGAGAAGAUUAACAUGUCCCCCGAGCAAGGAUGACACGCAAAUUCAUGAAGAGUUCCAUAUUUUU